rnacentral:lncRNA from 1 species
AAUAUAUGUAUCAGAUAACAUUAGAUUGCCAUCAGCAGAAGUGAACUGUAUAGGAUCACAUGGAACUUGUUUCUGAACAAUUUGAGUAGCUAGCUCCUAACUGUCAAAAGUUCCAGCACUGCCUGAAUCCAACAAAAUGAGCACCUCAUGAGAAUUUAUGAUACCCCUUAGCCGCAGAGUUCUAUUCUUCUUCUGAGAUUUCACUGUAGUCCCCUCUAUAACUGGAGAUUGGAUUGCCAUAACAUCCUGUCCAGCAGCUGGUACAGGGUCAUCCUCCCCAGCUGAAUAAUCCAUUUCAGUGUCCACCUGUACAGCAUCAAGUAAUUCUUGUAUCACAUGAAUAGGUAUUUGAGUAGGACACUUAUGAUUUCUUCCUGUCCACUUUUCUCCACAUGUGAAAACAAGUUAUUUGCUCUUCUAUAAGCCUUGAGUGCAGUCAGCUUGUCUCAAUUGCCAUUCAUCUGAGCUGUCUCAUUAGGCUUGACUUCUUCUCUCUUGAACUUAGUUCUAUCAACCAUACUGUUAGCUCUGGACUGAGACCUGGAAGAUUCCAUGUAAUCAGACCUGGACUGCACUUUGCUCUUGGCCAACUCCAACUCAGCUUCCUGUAACAGGGCUAAAGUGCUAGCGGCUUCCAGAUUCGGUGGCCGAUGCAAAAUGAUUGGUGCUCUUAUCUCUUUCCUUCAGCCCACCUAAAAAUCUUGUUACGAAGUACACAUCAUCACAAGAUGAGUUGUACAGAAGAAUGCAGUGUGCCAGGUGCUCAAACUUGGCCCGAUACUCUGCUACAGAACCUGUCUGCCUUAAACUCUCGAACUACUUCAUGUACAAAGGAUACUGAUCCCUGUCAAACUGAGCAAACACUGCUUUAUGCGUGUCAUCCCAUGACUGAAAUCGGGCACGUAGUUGAGCUGUCUGAAGCCAAAUUGCAGCAGAUCCAAUGAAAUUCAGUGUUGCAAAGCGGGGCUUCAUUGCUUCUGAUACACCAUAGAUAUCAAAAUACACUUCACACU